GAUGAACGCUGGCGGCGUGCCUAAUACAUGCAAGUCGAGCGAACAGACGAGGAGCUUGCUCCUUCGACGUUAGCGGCGGACGGGUAAGUAACACGUAGGUAACCUACCUAUAAGACUGGGAUAACUUCGGGAAACCGGAGCUAAUACCGGAUAAUAUUUCGAACCGCAUGGUUCGAUAGUGAAAGAUGGCUUUGCUAUCACUUAUAGAUGGACCUGCGCCGUAUUAGCUAGUUGGUAAGGUAACGGCUUACCAAGGCAACGAUACGUAGCCGACCUGAGAGGGUGAUCGGCCACACUGGAACUGAGACACGGUCCAGACUCCUACGGGAGGCAGCAGUAGGGAAUCUUCCGAAAUGGGCGAAAGCCUGACGGAGCAACGCCGCGUGAGUGAUGAAGGUCUUCGGAUCGUAAAACUCUGUUAUUAGGGAAGAACAAACGUGUAAGUAACUGUGCACGUCUUGACGGUACCUAAUCAGAAAGCCACGGCUAACUACGUG
rnacentral:rRNA from 1 species